rnacentral:tRNA from 1 species
GCCCGGCUAGCCUCAGUCGGUAGAGCAUGAGACUCUUAAUCUCAGGGUCGUGGGUUCGAGACCCACGUUGGGCG